GCGGUCGUGGCGGAAUUGGUAGACGCACUACCUUGAGGUGGUAGCGGGGCAACUCGUGGAGGUUCGAGUCCUCUCGACCGCACCA
rnacentral:tRNA from 1 species